CCUACGGGAGGCAGCAGUGGGGAAUAUUGGACAAUGGGGGCAACCCUGAUCCAGCGACGCCCGCGUGUGUGAAGAAGGCCUGCGGGUUGUAAAGCACUUUUAGUGGGGAGGAAGGCCCUCGACCUAAUACGUCGGAGGAUUGACUUAACCCACAGAAAAAGCACCGGCUAACUCUGUGC
rnacentral:rRNA from 1 species